AGCGAACGCUGGCGGCAGGCCUAACACAUGCAAGUCGAACGAAGUCUUCGGACUUAGUGGCGGACGGGUGAGUAACACGUGGGAACGUGCCUUUAGGUUCGGAAUAACUCAGGGAAACUUGUGCUAAUACCGAAUGUGCCCUUCGGGGGAAAGAUUUAUCGCCUUUAGAGCGGCCCGCGUCUGAUUAGCUAGUUGGUGAGGUAAAGGCUCACCAAGGCUACGAUCAGUAGCUGGUCUGAGAGGAUGACCAGCCACAUUGGGACUGAGACACGGCCCAAACUCCUACGGGAGGCAGCAGUGGGGAAUCUUGCGCAAUGGGCGAAAGCCUGACGCAGCCAUGCCGCGUGGAUGAUGAAGGUCUUAGGAUUGUAAAAUCCUUUCACCGGUGAAGAUAAUGACUGUAGCCGGAGAAGAAGCCCCGGCUAACUCCGUGCCAGCAGCCGCCGUAAGAC
rnacentral:rRNA from 1 species